rnacentral:rRNA from 1 species
AGUGAAUAGAUACCCGGGUAGUCCACGCCGUAAACUAUGGAUGCUAGCCGUCGGCAAGCUUGCUUGUCGGUGGCGCAGCUAACGCUUUAAGCAUCCCGCCUGGGGAGUACGGCCGCAAGGUUAAAACUCAAAGGAAUUGACGGGGGCCCGCACAAGCGGUGGAGCAUGUGGUUUAAUUCGACGCAACGCGAAGAACCUUACCAGCUCUUGACAUUUACGGACCGUUUCCAGAGAUGGAUUCAUCCUAGCAAUAGGCCGUAGGACAGGUGCUGCAUGGCUGUCGUCAGCUCGUGUCGUGAGAU